rnacentral:rRNA from 1 species
AGUGAACGCUGGCGGUAGGCCUAACACAUGCAAGUCGAACGGCAGCACAGGAGAGCUUGCUCUCUGGGCGGCGAGUGGCGGACGGGUGAGGAAUACAUCGGAAUCUACCUUUUCGUGGGGGAUAACGUAGGGAAACUUACGCUAAUACCGCAUACGACCUACGGGUGAAAGUGGGGGACCGCAAGGCCUCACGCGAUUAGAUGAGCCGAUGUCCGAUUAGCUAGUUGGCGGGGUAAUGGCCCACCAAGGCGACGAUCGGUAGCUGGUCUGAGAGGAUGAUCAGCCACACUGGAACGGAGACACGGUCCAGACUCCUACGGGAGGCAGCAGUGGGGAAUAUUGGACAAUGGGCGCAAGCCUGAUCCAGCCAUACCGCGUGGGUGAAGAAGGCCUUCGGGUUGUAAAGCCCUUUUGUUGGGAAAGAAAUCCUAUCGGUUAAUAACCGGUGGGGAUGACGGUACCCAAAGAAUAAGCACCGGCUAACUUCGUGCCAGCCGCCGCCGUAAAAC